UAGGGAAUCUUCGGCAAUGGGGGCAAACCCUGACCGAGCAACGCCGCGUGAGUGAAGAAGGUUUUCGGAUCGUAAAGCUCUGUUGUAAGAGAAGAACGUGUGUGAGAGUGGAAAGUUCACACAGUGACGGUAACUUACCAGAAAGGGACGGCUAACUACGUGCCAA
rnacentral:rRNA from 1 species